rnacentral:lncRNA from 1 species
CUCCACAUGCCGCGGGAGCGGCCCAAGAAAUGGCAAAAAGACAAAAAGACAAAAAAAAAAAAAAAAAAGGAAAGAAGUUUAAAAAAAAGUCAUCAGUCUUGAACUUUAUUUUGACAUCAGGGGGUAAGUUCAUUAACUCAUGCACAUAUUCCUUUAACAGAUAUAUUUGAGGUGCUCAUUAUGUACCAGAAACUGGGCUAAGACAGUUAUGGUCCCCAUCAUUAUGGAGGGUGGAACAUUUGGUUAGAGAAACAAUAAGUAAAUGAAUGAGUGGUUAGAAAGUGAGGUAAGUUGUCUGGAGGAAAUAAAUAGCAAUUUGUGAUAGAGAAUGGGUGGUAUUAGGGGUCUUCUAGAAUGUGGGAGUCCAGGGAACUCUCUCUGAGGGCUUGACAUUGUAGCAAACACUAGAGGUUGUCUCUUAUUAGGUUCCCCAGAAGCAGAGCCUGAGAUUUAUUAGUAAAAUUUCCUGAGAGGCCAGGGACUAGGGUGGGGGCCUAGAGCACAUCAUUUAAGGAGGUGCUCAUUGUCAGAUUUGUGCAAGGGCAGUAUCAGCACCUGAGAGGGAGCAUCCCCUUAAAUUUUGCAUCCUGCAUGCCAUUUGCACCUCACCCUGAUUGUGGCAAGCAUGAAAAGUCUAAAAGAGGUAAACAAGUGUAUAAGAGCCUCUAUUUGUAAGGCUUUUGUACACUUGUUUACCUUUUUAUAAGCCUCUACUUGAUCUGUAAGCCUCAAUUCAUAAGCCUCUACUCCCAGCCUGUGAUAGUUGUUAUUAGUUUCCUGAGAGUCUUAUCCAUAUCAAAUUUUAUGCAUGACAACUAUAAAACAUUGCUGAAAAAAUUAAAGAUGAUGCAAAUAGGUGGAAUGACAUCUUGUGCUUACAAACAUAAAGCCUUGUGUUUACAAAUAUAAAGUUGUUAAAAUGUUCAUACUACUCAAAGCAAUCUACAGAGUCAAUACAAUCCCUAUCAAAAUCCCAAAGAUUUUUUUUUUUUCAGAAAUAGAAAAAUCUACCCUAAAAGUUACAUAGACUCUUGAGGGACUCAGAAUAGCCAAAAUUAUCUUGAAAAUUAAGAACAAAGUUGGAAGUCUCACAUUCUUGACUUCAGAACUUACCACAGAGCUACAAUAAUCAAAACAGUGUGGUAUUGCCAUAAAGACUGACACAUAGUCCAAUGGAAUAGAAUAAAGAGCCCAGAAAUAAACUGCCUAUAUGGGAAAAUAAUAUUUGACAAGAGUGCCAAGACCAUCAAUGGGGAAAGUGCAGUCUUUUCAACAGACAGUGAUGGGAAAACUGGAUCUCCACAGGCAAAAGAAUAAAGUUGGACCCUUAUCUUGCACUAUACACCAAAAAUUAGCUGAAAAUGGACCAAAGUCCUACAUAUAUGAUCUAUGUCUAUAAAACUCUUGGAAAAAAAUAUUUGGGGAAAUCUUCGCAACAAUGAUCUUUUUAGAUAUGAUACCUAAAACACAGUGAACAAGAAAAAAUAGGCAAAUAGGACUUCAACAAAUUUAAAAACUUUUGUGCAUCAAAGGACACUGUCACCAGAGUAAAAAGGCAGUUCAACGAAUGGGAGAAAAUAUUUGCAAAUUUAGGGGUUGAUAUCUAGAAUAUAUAAAGAACUCCUACAACUCAGUAACCAACAAACCUCAAACAAUCUAACUAAAAAAUGAGCAAAAAGGUGUUCCAUUGUGGCUCAGUGGUAACAAAUGUCACUAGUAUCCAUAAAGAACUCCUACAACUCAGUAACCAACAAACCUCAAACAAUCUAACUAAAAAAUGAGCAAAAAGGUGUUCCAUUGUGGCUCAGUGGUAACAAAUGUCACUAUAUCCAUGAGGUUUGAUGAAUUCCUGGCUCAUCUCAAUGGAUUAAGGAUCUAGCAUUGUCAAGAGCUGUGAUGCCUGUCAUAGACACAACGUGGAUCUAGCCUCAGAUCUGGUUGCUGUGGCUGUGGCAUAGGCUGGCAGUUGCAGCUCCAAUUCAACCCCUAGCCUGGGAACUUCCUAACAUGGGAACUCCUAUAUGCUGGGAACUUUGAUAAGGUGCAGCCUUAUUAAAAAAAAAGAGCAGUCUUGAAUAAAUAUUUCUCCAAAGAAGAUAAAUAGAUAUCCAAUAAGCACACAUAUGCUCAACAUUCCUAAUCACUGCGAAGGACAAAAUCAAAAAUGAAAUAUCAUUUCACAACCACUAGGUGUCUAUUAUUUAAAAAAAAAUUCAGAAAAUAGCAAGUGUUGAUGAGAAUGUGGAGAAAUUGGAACACUUGGGCAUUGCUGGUAAGAAUAUAAAACGGUGCAACUGCUGUGGAAAAUAGUUUGGCAUUUCCUCAAAAAAAGCCUAGAAUUACAUAGAAUAAGCAUAGAAUGAUCUAGCAAUUCUACUCCUGGGUACAUACCCCAAAGAACUGAAACAGGGACUCAGAUAUUUGUAUACCAACAUUCAAAACAGCAUUAUUCACAAUAGUCAAAAAGUAGAAACAACCAAAUGCCCAUUAAUGGAUGAAUAGACAAAAUGUAGUAAACCAUACAACAGAAUAUUACUCAGCCCUAAAAAGGAAGGGAAUUGUGACACCUGCUACAGCAUGGAUCAAGCUUGAAGACAUUAUGCUAAGUGACAAGUCGCAAGGACAAAUAUUCUAUGAUUCCCCUUAUAUUAGUUAUCUAGAUUAGUCAAACUCAUAGGAGUGGAAAGUAAAAGAGUGGUUGCCAGGGGCUGUGGUGGGGAUGGAAGAAUGGAGAGUUAUGAAAUCUUCCCAUACCUCCAGGUAGCACUCAGGUCACUCUUGGGUAACAGAAUGAGAACUGGAUUUCAAGCCGGGGAUGUGAAAAUUCCCUCCUGUCCUGGGCUGGCCCGCCCCACCUCCCACCCAUGACAAUGCCACCCAGCUUCUGAAGGGCUCUGGAACAGGAACAUUUUUCUGAAAAGUUACCUUUGUCUGUUCUAGAAAACAUAGCUAUUGUCCAGUGGACACAGCUGGGUGUGUCUUGAGUGAGGGUGUGUAGUGAGGGUAUUGCUCUGGUGGUCCCUGGGGCAGAGCCUCAGAAAAGAAUUGUGUCUGGGGCAUUCAUCCACCUGGGGGAAGAUGAGACCAAGAGUGAGAACAAGCUGGGUGGUAUGAUGACUGAAAAGGGGAGAAAGGCAUGAGAACAGAGAAGCAGCAGAAUUGGGGAAAGAAGAGGAAUGUCCAUAUCAGACAUAAUCAUGGCUCUUCCCUGUUCCCUUCCUGCCCCCACACAGCCUGUCCCAGGCCCAUGGCUUUACAUCUGAUGGAGUCAGUGUGGAGCAUGUGGAUGCCGUCUUAGCAGAGGGGGUGAAUGGGUUCAUCUUUAAAGACAAAGACAGAGUUCCCAUUGUGGCUCAGUAGGUUACAAACCCAACUAGAAUCCAUGAGAAUGUGGCUUUCAUCCCUGGCUUCUCUCAGUGGGUUAAGGAUCCAGCGUUGCCGUGAGCUGUGGUGUAGGUCGCAGUCAAGGCUUGGAUUUGGUGUUGCUGUGGCUGUGGUGCAAGCUGGCAGCUGCAGCUCUGAGUCAAACCUUAGCCUGGGAACUUCCAUGUGUCGCAUGUGUGCAGCCCUAAGGGGGAAAAAAAAGACAAAGGCAAUGUCUAUACAGAUAGUGUCAGAUGCACCAUUUCCCUUUGGGGUAUCCCAUCCUGAUGCCUCCUCCCAGCCAUGUCUGUUCACAAUGUAAUAGAUCAUGUGCUCAGUGUAAUGAGUUUGUUCAUCAGGACUGAGAUGUCUACUUGUGAUGUUCAUGCACUUAGAGGAGACAUGGCAGGUUUCCUCCAGAAGCCCUCCCCAGACCGGACCAGGGCAAGAGCCUUACCCCUUGUGCUGAGUGUUCAGUGAACUUGGGCUCACCUUGGAUCCCUAGUCAGACCACUGAACUCAACAGAAUUAGAGCACCCAGUGGUUCCUCAUUCUUAUACACAGCCACGUUGUCUGAGAUCAAGGAUUGUAGGGCUGAGUUGGUGGAUCAUUGCAAGGAAGAUACUGAGAUGUUUGGAGUCCGCAAAGGAAGAGGCAAAAGUAGCAUGUGAGUCUCUGAGGAUGGUGUUGAGAUAGUGUUGAGAAAAAAGCCACUGAAGCUACCCUGUUUCUUUACUCCUAUACAGGUGUAGAGUUCAGGGCAGUGUGGCUUCUCCUGGCUCCCUCUGACUCCUAUCUCACCUAGCUUUUGGAUUCAUGAGCCUAGAAAAGCAAACUUUAGCUUUCAGCCUGGCAAGGCUAGAGACAAAGCAAAGCCUACUGUCUGGGAAAAUUCAGUUCACACCCAAUAAUCUGACAAUACUAAAAAUCCAUAAUGUUAUUUUAAAAAAUUUUACAAGUUUUAUUGAAGUAGAGUUGAUUUACAAUGUUGUGAUAAUUUCUGCUGUACAGCAAAUUGAUUCAAUUAUACAUAAUGCACACAUCUACCCACGGCACCUGGCUGGAGAUGGAACCAGAACCUCCACAGUGACUUGAGCUUCUGCAGUAGGAUUCUUAACUCAUUGUGCAACAGCAGGAACUCCUUGAGUUAUUUCUAAUUGUCAGAUUAAAAAAUAUUGCAUGGGGUGUACUUAUACCUUUCUAUUUUAUCUGAAAUAAAGUGUACCUAACUUUCAUCCUUCUUUUGUUAAUUAUAUUUCUCUGGUGAUUUGACUUUCCAUAAAAGUUCUUUGUUUUGCAGAUUUAUUUGCUUAUAAUUUCUUUUUUCUUUUAUUACGAAUUACCUAUAAUUUUUUUCUUCUUGUUUUCAGUAUGUGCUGGACAAGUUUAUUUUCAAAAUGGAAGUAGCUUUAUUAUCUUUGCCAAUAAUAAAUAAGAUAAUAAAAGUUAUAGCUGCACUACAUAAAAAUUCAGAUUUUCAUAAAAAAGAUAAAUAAAUAAAAAAUCAAUCAUAGCUGCACCACUCAGAAAGUAAAUAUUUUUCUUAAUAAUAAUAAUUUAUUAAUGUUUCAAUGAUAUUUUCAUAAAGUUUAUGAAAAUUAUAUUUAAUCAAACCAUUCUUCAUUGUGGCAAAAUAUACAUACCAUAAAAACAACCAUUUUAGCCAUUUUUGAGUGUAAAACUUAGGGGCAUUAAGUAUAUUAGCAUUACAGUGCAAACAUGUUGUUUUUCCUCUGAUUUGUUUCACUUACAUCAUAGCUUCUCAUGUAAAAAAUAAAGGCAUGAUUCUUUAAAACUCCCUAGGGUAGAAUUGUUGGGUUAGCCUAUUGAUGGACAUUUGGGUUUUUUAAAUGAUUUUAGCUGUUAAAAACCAUGUUGUGAUGAACAUUCUUAUGUUAUUACUUGUACAUUUUUGCAGACCUGUCUAUUUACUUUUGGAUGAACCCCCAGAGGGUGAAUGGCUGGAAUGAACAGUAAUCACAUUUAUAACGCAUUUGACACAUGCUAUCAGAUUGGCUUCCAGAAAUGCCACACCAAUUACCAGCAGGAAAUGAGAGUAUAGGACAAUAUUUUAUUCAUUUUUGUGUGUGCAUUUGAAUUUUUUUUUGAGUAAAUGUUAUUAAACUGUUAUCUAUUAUAUCUUUGUUUUGCAAAGAUAUCACUGGUUUGUUUUCUGAUUUUUACAUUUGGUUUUCUCUACUUUUAAACACUUACCUGUCUAGGAUUUUUUUUUUUUAUGUACAAUUUGAGAAAAUUAGCCAAAUUGAUCCCCCCACACGUAUUGCUAAGGAUUGUUACAAAACUUAAUACUCUCUCUCCCCCAGUUGAUGCCUAUUUUAUCACAUUUUAUUGAAAAAAUGACCCUACUUUCACUAUUAGUAUGUAAUAACACAAAGCAGGGUGUUUAGUAUUCUUAUUUUGUCCAAAUGCCAGAAAUUUCAAAUCGUUAACAUUUAUUGUAUUAUCCACUUCUAUUUUAUUAUGUUCCAAGGAUACAAUUAUUCCUCUCAGAGAACAGCCUGAUUUUAUCAUGGAUCUUGAUAGUAAUACAGGAUUUGCUUCAGUUAACCCUUAGCACAAUUCCUUAGAGUACUCCUGCCUGAGUAAGCGAUGUGAGACACGGUGGUCUAAGGGUGUAGAGAACUUAAAAUUUGGAUGCAUGUAGUCAUGGCUUUUGUGUAUUUAACACAGCUCUUGAAUAAACAGUUACAUUAUGUCUACUAAUCAGUAGUAUUACUAAUAAGCAAUGACAAUAUAGCAACCUUUCCACUAAAUUGUAUAGUCUGUUUGAAUGUAACAAGGAAGAACAAAUCUGACUCCCUAUUGGAUCUGUUGUUGUUGUUGUUGUUUUUACUUUAAACUUUGUAUUCUACUGCUUUUGCUACAAGUAUUCUUAAUUUAGUUGCCUAUAGCCUGAAAUAUACAGGAUAGCCCAUUCUCCAGGCUCUGGCCUUGAAGGAUAUAACAGUUUUUCAUUCAUACAGAGAUUAAAAAGUUUCAGAACAGAGAAUAACACUUGUCUUAUUGGAGGUUUACAGGAACAUAGUAAACAUGAUCUGACCUUACAGGACAGCUGCAAGAACAAAGGAUUACAACACCAAGAAGUUUGCAACAACCAACCAUACCCCUUUCCCUUUCAGUAUAAAAGAACCCUGAAUUCUAAUUCAGGUAAGAUUGUUUUUUGGGACACUAGUUUGCCAUUGUCUUGGUCUGCUGGUUUUCCUAAUAAAGUCACUAAUCCUUGCCC